UUCCCCUAGUAACUGCGAGUGAAGCGGGAAAAGCUCAAAUUUAAAAUCUGGUAGUCUUUGGCUAUCCGAGUUGUAAUCUAGAGAAGCGUUAUCCGCGCUGGACCGUGUAUAAGUCUCCUGGAAUGGAGCGUCAUAGAGGGUGAGAAUCCCGUCUUUGACACGGACUACCAGGGCUUUGUGAUACGCUCUCAAAGAGUCGAGUUGUUUGGGAAUGCAGCUCUAAAUGGGUGGUAAAUUCCAUCUAAAGCUAAAUAUUGGCGAGAGACCGAUAGCGAACAAGUACCGUGAGGGAAAGAUGAAAAGAACUUUGGAAAGAGAGUUAAACAGUACGUGAAAUUGUUGAAAGGGAAACGCUUGAAGUCAGUCGCGUUGUCCAGGGAUCAACCUUGCUUUUGCUUGGUGUACUUCCUGGUUUAAUGGGCCAGCAUCAAUUUUGAUCAGUGGAAAAAGAUCAAAGGAAUGUGGCAUCUUCGGAUGUGUUAUAGCCUUUGGUUGUAUACAUUGGUUGGGAUUGAGGAACUCAGCAUGCCGCAAGGCCAGGUUUUCAACCAUGUUCAUGCUUAGGAUGCUGGCAUAAUGGCUUUAAUCGACCCGUCUUGAAACACGGACCAAGGAGUCUAACAUACCUGCGAGUGUUUGGGUGGAAAACCCAAGCGCGUAAUGAAAGUGAAAGUUGGGAUCCCUGUCGUGGGGAGCACCGACGCCCGGACCAGACCUUCUGUGACGGAUCCGCGGUAGAG
rnacentral:rRNA from 1 species